GGUGCUGUGGCACAGUGGGUUAGAGCCCCAGCCUGCAGCGCUGGCGUCCCUUAUGGAUGCCAGUUCGAAUCCUGGCUGCUUCA
rnacentral:tRNA from 1 species